rnacentral:rRNA from 1 species
UACGUAGGGUGCGAGCGUUAAUCGGAAUUACUGGGCGUAAAGCGUGCGCAGGCGGUUUUGUAAGCCAGAUGUGAAAUCCCCGGGCUCAACCUGGGAAUGGCAUUUGGGACUGCAAGGCUGGAGUACGGCAGAGGAGACUGGAAUUCCUGGUGUAGCAGUGAAAUGCGUAGAUAUCAGGAGGAAUACCGAUGGCGAAGGCAGGUCUCUGGGCUGAUACUGACGCUCAUGCACGAAAGCGUGGGGAGC